GACGAACGCUGGCGGCGUGCUUAACACAUGCAAGUCGAACGGAAAGGUCCUGCUUAUGUGGGGUGCUCGAGUGACGACCGGGUGAGUAACCCGUGAGUAACCUGUACUUGACUGUGGGAUAACUUCAGAACACUUGGGCUCAUACCGGAUAGGAGCUCCUGCUGCAUGGUGGGGGUUGGAAAGUUUCGGCGGUUGGGGAUGGACUCGCGGCUUAUCAGCUUGUUGGUGGGGUAGUGGAUUACCAAGGCUUGGAAGGGUGGCGGGGCUGGGCGGGGCACCGGCCACAUUGCGAUUGAGAUGAGGCCCAGCCUCGUACGGGAGGCAGCAGUGGGGAAGAGUGCACAGGGGGAGGAAGCCUGAUGCAGCAACGCCGCGUGGGGGAUGACAGCCUGCGGGUUGGAUUCCGCUUUCGCCUGUGACGAAGCGUGAGUGACGGUAAUGGGUAAAGAAGCACCGGCUAACUACGUG
rnacentral:rRNA from 1 species